AUGACAGGACACACCAAGUAGCAGUGCCUAGCUCUCAGAAGUGGCAACUUGGAUCCUUUUUCCUGGCUGAGCACCCAGCCUCACCUUCCUGCCAGAUGAUGAACUUCCCAUUUGAGGCUGAAUGCUACACUUGAGGUUUGGGCCUUGUCCUGUAACUUGUCCUCAAGUCAAAACCAGCUGCACAGAGUGGGAGGCUGAGGGGAAGGUGCAGUAAGGCUGUGGGAAAGCAAAGACUCCAAAUUCAGGUUGGAACAGUUAAGAAAUGCAGCUGCUGCAGAAGAAAUCCUCUGUGUGUUCUCCUGAAUUGUAAAGGCUGGUAAGAAAGAGAAGCCAAAGUCAUCCAUUAAUCCACAGGCAAAGUCCUAUUGAAGCUGCUGCAGUGAAAGCUCUCCCAUGCUGCCCUGGAAAUAACCCCAGCCGUGACGCGCUGAGAUGACCCUAGACACUGAUAUAAUAAAAUGCCAAGCUGAUGUGUUGUGGUUAGGUCAGAUGCAGCCUGCAGCUUCCCCUGGUCCUGGCCAGCGUGCCCUGGGAGCAGCUGGCAGCUUGCAGGAGUUAUCUCUUGGGAUCCAGCUGCAGUGCUUGUUAAAACGCUGA
rnacentral:lncRNA from 1 species